CAUAAGCAAGAGAUCUGCAGUUGUGUCUGCCAGCAAUGCAGCUAGGAGGAAGAGAACUCACCCAGAGAUGCCUGAUCCAGCUACGAUCCUCACGGAGCUGAUAAUCCUAUCAGAAGCACAGCUUUCAGACUGAUGGUUGCCAGCUCCAAAAUGUCACCAGAGAUAGAAGUGCUGAAGAUCUGUAUGGAUGUUUCCUGAUAACAGCAGGAACUUGCAUUAACAACUGCCCAGCUGCAGUCCUGGAAGCUAGAAGGACAUAAAGGUGCAGAGUGGUGCUGCAGAUAAGAGAGACUUGCCGAGGAGCAAAGUGCAGCAGUUCUUGUUCAGCAGGUCAUUUCUUGCCAGUUCAGAAGUCUGGAAAUCACAGACUGCGGAAGCACACUGCCUUAACCUUAACCACAGAUGUGCUGCCAUAAUUGCAGGUGUCGUUUAAGCGUGGAGCCAGGUCUGCUGUAAGUGACUCUUUUUCUCUGCUGGAAUUAAUGAACAAAUCCUGCAGCAUCGUUGACUGAGCAAAUCAGCAGUCAGUUAAGUGCAUCCUGUCAGCAGAAGGUAAU
rnacentral:lncRNA from 1 species